rnacentral:misc_RNA from 1 species
GAAUUGGAAGGGAAUUUAGGAGUUGGUUUGAUGCUGGCCGACAACCCCCAGGGCAUGUGCACGCCUUCUCCUUCAUCCACACACACCUGUGCACUUGUGAGACGGAGGAUUAAUUUCCUCCGUCUACUAAUCACACAAACUCAUUGUAAUUGAACUGAAUGUAAUUGAUGUAACACAUCAUUUGAACUAAGUUUCAACAACGGAUCUCUUGGCUCUCGCAUCGAUGAAGAACGCAGCGAAAUGCGAUAAGUAAUGUGAAUUGCAGAAUUCAGUGAAUCAUCGAAUCUUUGAACGCAUCUUGCGCUCCUUGGUAUUCCUUGGAGCAUGCCUGUUUGAGUAUCAUGAGCAAAUCUCAAAGUCAAUUCCUUAAUUGGUUUUGCUUUGGACUUGGAGGUCUUGCAGAUUUCACAGUCUGCUCCUCUUAAAUGCAUUAGCUGGAUCUCAGUAAUUAUGCUUGGUUCCACUCGGCGUGAUAAGUAUCACUCGCUGAGGACACUGUUAAAAAGGUGGCCAGGAAAUUACUGAUUGAACCGCUUCUAACGGUCUAUUAAGUUAGACAAUUGACCCCUUAAGUUUGAUCUCAAAUCAGGUAGGACUACCCGCUGAACUUAAGCAUAUCAAUAAGCGGAGGAAAAGAAACUAACAAGGAUUCCCCUAGUAACGGCGAGUGAAGCGGGAAGAGCUCAAUUUAAAAUCUGACGGUGUAUUCCGUCCGAGUUGUAGCCUAGAGAAGCAUCAUCCGCGCUGGACCGUGUACAAGUCUCCCGGACGCU